CUACGGGUUGCUGCAGUGAGGAAUAUUGCACAAUGGGGUGAACCCUGAUGCAGCAACGCCGCGUGGAGGAUGACGCAUUUCGGUGUGUAAACUCCUUUUAUAUGUCAAGGAAAUGACGGUAGCAUAUGAAUAAGCACCGGCUAACUCCGUGCCAGCAGCCGCGGUAAUACGGAGGGUGCAAGCGUUACUCGGAAUCACUGGGCGUAAAGGACGCGUAGGCGGGUUGGAAAGUCAGGUGUGAAAUCCUACAGCUUAACUGUAGAACUGCACUUGAAACUUCUAAUCUAGAGUAUGGGAGGGGGAGAUGGAAUUAGUGGUGUAGAGGUAAAAUCCGUAGAUAUCACUAGGAAUACCUAAAGCGAAGGCGAUCUCCUGGAACAUUACUGACGCUAAGGCGUGAAAGCGUGGGGAGCAAACAGGAUUAGAUACCCUCGUAGUC
rnacentral:rRNA from 1 species